AGGUAAUAGAUGGGUUGUUAUACAAACUUGUAGCUAAAGGAACCAAAAAUUUUCCAAAAAUAAUCCUUUCGAUAAAUACCCGAGAGAAUCAAUUUUCAUUUAUGCAUGCAUAACAUCACUAAAGGCAGAAACAACUUGUAAAAGAAGGGAUGGCUUCACUGUUACUUUUGAAGAAGAAACCGUGACAUUUAUGGAGAAAGACAACAAAAGGAGAAGAAGAUUCUAGACAACUUGUAAGGGAAGGGGACAAGUUUUUGGUUUUUCUAACUUCAAUACUUGUCGAGGAAGGAUUUCACCUUUAUAAUCAAAUUGAAAGUGGGGAAGUCAGAUGGUGGGGUCUUCAUUAAGUAUUGCUUGUUUUUUGUGUAUAUAAAGAAGUGAUCGCCAUCGCCCAUUUGCCAUCAGAGCAAAUUCUUCAAAUGGGUGUUCUUGUUGGUUUUAGAUUUCAUCCAACUGAUGAAGAAAUCGUGCAUCUUCUUGAAAUGGAAAGGCUUGACUCUGAUUUCUCUGUCCAAGAUACUAUUGAGACUAAAAUUUACGAUUUCGAACUAGGUGAAUUGUUCGGGCUUUCACGAAAUCAAUCCAAUGGAAAAUGGUUUAGCUUCUUCUGCACAACUGAUUAUGUAAAUGCUGAUAGCAAUCGUGUUCACAUAGCAACUAAGGUGUCUACUAAAACCGACUAGGUUCUUCUGCCAAAGACAAUACUCUUUAUAAGAAGGAUUUUGUUGUGUGUCGUGUAAAAAAUAUGGAGAUAAGAAGCAUCGUAAUUCAACCAAGGUCAAAGGUCAACUGCAGAAAAAGCUUUGUACUUCAACAUAUGUUGAACGUGAACGACAAGGAAUACCCGGUUUCUAAUUUCAGAAAUCCUGUUGCAGAAAGCACUUUUCUGAAAUCACAAUUACCACCAAAUAACAAUCUGCUUCAUAAGUUCAGAAAUCAUGUUGAAGAUACUUCGAUUUCUGAAUCUAGAGAUAGUCUUGAAGAAAAUACUCCAAUUUCUGAAUCUUGGAAUCAUGUUGAAGAAUCGUCGAUUUCUGAAUCUAGGAGUCAUGCUGAUCUAUAUACUUCAAUUUCUAAAUCUAGAGAUUGUGUUGAGGAAAAUACUUUGGUCUCUUAAUCUGAGAUAAUGUUGAAGGAAAAUACUUCUCCAGAAUUGCAGUUACUAUUAUAGUUUCUACCAAGUAACCAUAUGCUUUCUAAUUCUAUAAAUCAUUUUGGAGAAAACACUUCUCCAAAUGGCUAUUUGAUUUCUGAAUGUAGAAAUCAUGCGAAAGAAAAUACCUGUCCAGAAUUGAAGUUAUUGCCGCAGUUACCAGCAAAUGACUAUUUGAUUUCUGAAUCUAGAAAUCAUGUUGAAGAAAAUAGUUAUCUAGAAUUGCAGUUAUUACUGCAAUUUCUACCAAGUAACUACACAAUUUCUGAAUCUAGCAAUCAUGUUGAAGAAAAAAAACUCCCCAAGAAUUGCAGUUACUGCCACAGUUUUUACCAAAUAACAAUAUGAUUUCUAAUGCUAGAAAUCUUGUUGAAGGAAUAUUUCUCCAGAACAAUCAGAAUGGCAAUCAAGUAACAAUUUGAUUUCUAAUUCUGGAAAUCAUAUUGUAGAAAGUGCUCUGCCACUGUAUUCUGAUCUGCCUACAAUAUCAAAUGCACGAAGUGAGGGUAAUAAGCCAGAUGAGGCCAUUUCUCACCACUGCAGUCACCUACAAAUCAAGAACAAGGAUCUUCAUAUUCUAGUUUCUCUAGUAGUGGCUAUCCUCCAUUUGGCAGUGAGCAGGAGAAUGACAUGAAUCCAAAAUCAGGAAUCCAUCAUCCUUAUAAAGGAACCGGACACAGUAUUCUUCCCCGUUACUGCCAUUCACCGGAGACGGGUGGAGGAUUAAGUGGUGGGGAUAGCAGUGACAUAUAGACUCUCAGACCUUGAACAAAUGGAACAAAAGAAAGGCAAGACAUACAUGAUACAAAAUUCUGGUAAAAGACACCAUUUUCGUUCAAAGCACCAACUUUU